rnacentral:rRNA from 1 species
UUGGAGAGUUUGAUCCUGGCUCAGGACGAACGCUGGCGGCGUGCUUAACACAUGCAAGUCGAACGGAAAUUAUAGGAAGCUUGCUUCUUGUAAUUUUAGUGGCGAACGGGUGAGUAACGCGUAACCAACCUGCCCUUCAGAGGGGGAUAACAACGGGAAACCGUUGCUAAUACCGCGUACGAAUGAACUUCGGCAUCGGAGCUCAUUGAAAGGUGGCCUCUAUUUAUAAGCUAUCGCUGAAGGAGGGGGUUGCGUCUGAUUAGCUAGUUGGAGGGGUAACGGCCCACCAAGGCAAUGAUCAGUAGCCGGUCUGAGAGGAUGAACGGCCACAUUGGGACUGAGACACGGCCCAAACUCCUACGGGAGGCAGCAGUGGGGAAUCUUCCGCAAUGGACGAAAGUCUGACGGAGCAACGCCGCGUGAGUGAUGACGGCCUUCGGGUUGUAAAGCUCUGUUAAUCGGGACGAAUGGUCUUUGUGUGAAUAAUGCAAAGAUUUGACGGUACCGGAAUAGAAAGCCACGGCUAACUACGUGCCAGCAGCCGCGGUAAUACGUAGGUGGCAAGCGUUGUCCGGAAUUAUUGGGCGUAAAGCGCGCGCAGGCGGUUUCAUAAGUC